rnacentral:rRNA from 1 species
AGAGUUUGAUCCUGGCUCAGGAUUAACGCUAGCGGUGCGCAUAAUACAUGCAAGUCGAGCGCGAAAGUUUCUUCGGAAGCGAGUAGAGCGGCGGACGGCUGAGGAACACGUUGGUACCUACCUCAUUGCUCAGGGAUAGCCUCACGAAAGUGAGAUUAAUACCGGAUGGUCUCUAAUUUAUUUAGAGUAAAGAUUUAUUUCGGCAUGAGAGGGGCCUGCGGCCUAUCAGCUAGUUGGUAAGGUAAUGGCUUACCAAGGCAAUGACAGGUAGCUGGUGUGAGAGCACGACCAGCCAGAAUGGAACUGAGACACGGUCCAUACUCCUACGGGAGGCAGCAGUAGGGAAUCUUCCGCAAUGGACGAAAGUCUGACGGAGCGACACCGCGUGCAGGAUGACACCUCUAGGGGCGUAAACUGCUUUUCUGAGUGAAUAAGUUCUGAAGCUAACUCAGGAAUAAGCACCGGCUAAUUAUGUGCCAGCAGCCGCGGUAAUACAUAAGGUGCAAGCGUUAUCCGGAAUUAUUGGGCGUAAAGCGUCCGCAGCCUGAAAAGUAAGUCUGAUGUAAAAUCUUGCAGCUCAACUGUAAGUUCGUAUUGGAAACUGCUUUUCUAGAGUUAUACAGAGGUGCGUGGAAUUUCUCUGUGGAGGGGUAAAAUCCGUAGAUAUGAGAAGGAACACCAAAGGCGAAGGCAGCGCACUGGGUAUAUACUGACGGUCAGGGACGAAAGCGUGGGGAGCGAAAAGGAUUAGAUACCCUUGUAGUCCACGCCGUAAACGAUGCAUACUCGGUAUGUGGGAGCUUCGACCCUCCUACGUGCCUAAGCUAACGCGUUAAGUAUGCCGCCUGUGAAGUACGAUCGCAAGAUUAAAACAUAAAGGAAUAGACGGGGACCCACACAAGCAGUGGAGCAUGGCGUUUAAUUCGAUGGCACGCGAGAAACCUUACCUGGACUUGACACCCUGAGAAUCUCACUGAAAGGAGAGAGUGCCGCAAGGAACUCAGUGACAGGUGCUGCAUGGUCGUCGUCAGCUCGUGCCUUGAGGUGUUCGGUUAAGUCCGCGAACGAGCGCAACCCAUAUCGUAUGUUGUAUUUUUCAUACGAGACUGCCUAGCAUAACUAGGAGGAAGGUGUGGAUGACGUCAGAUCAGCAUGGCCCUUAUGUCCAGGGCUACAGCCGUGCUACAAUGGUCGGUACAGAGUGCAGCAAUACCGCGAGGUGGAGCGAAUCACCAAAACCGAUCUCAGUUCGGAUCGCAGGCUGAAACUCGCCUGCGUGAAGUUGGAAUUGCUAGUAACCGUAUAUCAGCAAUGGUACGGUGAAUAUGUUCCUGGGUCUUGUACUCACCGCCCGUCAAGUCAUGAAAGAUGGUGGCACCCGAAGUGGUCUUAGUUUGUAGAAACGGAUCCCUACGGUGAAAUCAUUGAUUGGGACUAAGUCGUAACAAGGUA